rnacentral:rRNA from 1 species
AAUGUGUAUAUCGCCAUUGCUGCGGUUAAAAAGCUCGUAGUUGGAUCUGCGCCUUCGGACUCGGUCCUCCCAACGGGUGCGAACUGAGCUCCAAGGCUACUACUGCUGGUUUUCCCUUGAUGCUCUUCACUGGGUGUCUUGGGUGGCUAGCGAGUUUACUUUGAAAAAAUUAGAGUGCUCAAAACAGGCUAUUGCCUGAAUACCGGUGCAUGGAAUAAUAGAAUAGGAUCUCGGUCCUAUUUUGUUGGUUUUCGGAACUGAGAUAAUGGUUAAGAGGGACAGACGGGGGCAUUCGUAUCGCUGCGUGAGAGGUGAAAUUCUUGGACCGCAGCGAGACGCCCAACUG